GGGGAUGAAAUAGUUUCGAUGAAAAAUGGUCUCAAAACAGGCAAGUCAAGGUGUCGGUUCCUUGUAAAACCCCGUUAGAAAUUGAUUUUUCUAAACGGGGUAAAACUGCCGACAAACAAAAUAAGCGCAAACUUAUUUGAAAAAGCCAGGAAUCUAGUGUUUGGCUGGGUUCCCGGUCCGCUAGCCAUUCCUGGUCCUGCUUUCGCUUAACGCGUAAGCCAUCCGGUUCGUUGACUCUCGAUAGACGAAGCCCGGGUGUCAUAUUAUCGAGAUGGGUAAUUUCUUUGUCUUGGGAGAAAUUACUGAAUAAAUUACUGAGCUCGGUUGGAAACAUUUUUGUCUAAUUUUGAGUUUCUAACCAAAAAAAUAAAUUAGACUAUUGCUUGCCCCGUUAGAUAUUUUAUCUAAAAAGGGGCAAAGCCUUGUUGGAUAAAGUUAUAUCUAACGGGGCUUGUAGAACUGUUUUGGGAAAUUUUUUAGACGCGGGAGCAAAACCCGCCAUCUCCACCU
rnacentral:tmRNA from 2 species